UGGCGGCAGGCCUAACACAUGCAAGUCGAGCGGUAACAUUUCUAGCUUGCUAGAAGAUGACGAGCGGCGGACGGGUGAGUAACGCGUAGAAAUCUACCUAGUAGUGGGGGAUAGCCCAGAGAAAUUUGGAUUAAUACCGCAUACGCCCUACGGGGGAAAGCGGGGGAUCUUCGGACCUCGUGCUAUUAGAUGAGUCUGCGUCGGAUUAGCUUGUUUGUGAGGUAAUGGCUCACCAAGGCGACGAUCCGUAGCUGGUCUGAGAGGAUGACCAGCCACACUGGAACUGAGACACGGUCCAGACUCCUACGGGAGGCAGCAGUGGGGAAUAUUGCACAAUGGGCGCAAGCCUGAUGCAGCCAUGCCGCGUGUGUGAAGAAGGCCUUAGGGUUGUAAAGCACUUUCAGCAGUGAGGAAAGGGGUGUCGUUAAUAGCGCCAUCCUGUGACGUUAACUGCAGAAGAAGGACCGGCUAACUCCGUG
rnacentral:rRNA from 1 species